rnacentral:rRNA from 1 species
CUACGUAGGUGGCAAGCGUUGUCCGGAAUUAUUGGGCGUAAAGCGUGCGCAGGCGGUUUUGUAAGCCCGACGUGAAAGCCCCGGGCUCAACCUGGGAACGGCCUUUGUGACUGCAAAGCUAGAGUACGGCAGAGGGGGGUGGAAUUCCGGGGGUAGCCGUGAACUGCGGAGAUCUGCGGAGGACACCCGAGGGCGAAGGCAAUCCCCUGGUGCUGUACGGACGCUCAUGCGCGAAAGCGUGGGGAGCAAACAGGAUGAGAUACCCUGGUAGUCCACGGCCUAAACGAUGUCAACUGGUUGUGGGGUCUUCAUUGACUCAGUAACGAAGCGAACGCGUGAAGUUGACCGCCUGGGGAGUACGGCCGCAAGGUUGAGACGUAAAGGAAUUGGCGGGG